UUGGGGUCUUUGAGACUUUAGUGGCGCAGCUAACGCGAUAAGUAGACCGCCUGGGGAGNACGGUCGCAAGACUAAAACUCAAAUGAAUUGACGGGGGCCCGCACAAGCGGUGGAGCAUGUGGUUUAAUUCGAUGCAACGCGAAGAACCUUACCUGGUCUUGACAUAGUAAGAACUUUCCAGAGAUGGAUUGGUGCCUUCGGGAGCUUACAUACAGGUGCUGCAUGGCUGUCGUCAGCUCGUGUCGUGAGAUGUUGGGUUAAGUCCCGCAACGAGCGCAACCCUUUUCCUUAUUUGCCAGCGGGUUAAGCCGGGAACUUUAAGGAUACUGCCAGUGACAAACUGGAGGAAGGCGGGGACNACGUCAAGUCAUCAUGGCCCUUACGACCAGGGCUACACACNUGCUACAAUGGUCGGUACAAAGGGUUGCUACCUAGCGANAGGAUGCUAAUCUCAAAAAGCCGAUCGUAGUCCGGAUUGGAGUCUGCAACUCGACUCCAUGAAGUCNGAAUCGCUAGUAAUCGCGGAUCAAAUGCCGCGGUGAAUACNUUCCCGGGCCUUGUACACACCGCC
rnacentral:rRNA from 1 species